CAAAUUUGGCAAGGAAAUCAAGGGCUGUGGCAAUAACCUGUGUCAUUUGGGGAGUCUCUUGUACUACCCCACCAACAGCUAAAAGUAAUACCCUGCUCCUGGAAGACAUGCUGAGGACAUUACCAGAACCUUGAUGGAUGCGGACACCUGGAAUGAGGACUGAAUUGAUCAGCUCAUCUCCCCUUCUCUCCUCCCUCCACUAAAUCCUUAUUGACUCCUGAGAAAUGAAACCAUUGUACUACGCUUAAUCAACUGUUGUCUCCAAAGAUUCUUACAAAUAUCCUGACUGAGCAGCCGUUACCUGAGACCAAAGUAAGGCUAUGUUCCUGUUCCAGACCACCAGAGGACUCCCUCUCAGUUAAGAGAAAAGGGGGCACACUAUUCCUCUCUUGUUAAGUCUUCAGGGUCUGGAAUGAUGGAAAAUCAGCCUGACAAUGGCUGAAGGAACUCAUCAUCCACCCACCUUGCCUCUCAAUUCCAGGAGGGAGCUACAUCUAUUUCAGAACACACGGCCCCUAGAAAACAACAUCUGGUUCCUUAUCAGCCUUCCUGUAGAUCUGGUUCCUCACCAAACCCUUUAUCAGAACUCCCCAUCUCUCCUUACCUGAUCCUAGGAAGGAGCACCCCCCCCCCCCGCCAAGGCAUGCCCUGCCUUCUGCGAUUUGGAGAGGAUUUUUGAGCCCACCUAUAAAUCCCAGCCCUCCUCCAACCCCAAUGCCCCAACUUCCAUACCUGUGGGAAGGUUGCAUGGUCCUUGUAGCUAAUAAAGUGAUCUGUAUCUAUCAAAAAAAAAAUCAUAGAUGCUCAUUAAUUUUAAAUACAAGACUUUUUUCACAAAAUAUUGAUAAUAAAGCAUUGGGAAAAUGUU